GUAAUUCCAGCUCCAAUAGCGUAUAUUAAAGUUGUUGCAGUUAAAAAGCUCGUAGUUGAAUUUCGGGGUNAGUAGGUUGGUCAUGCCUCNGGUAUGUACUGGUCUCACUGAUUCCUCCUUCCUGAUGAGCCGUAAUGCCAUUAAUUUGGUGUUGCGGGGAAUNUGGACUGUUACUUUGAAAAAAUUAGAGUGUUUAAAGCAAGCUAACGCUUGAAUACAUUAGCAUGGAAUAAUGAAAUAGGACGUUCGAUCCUAUUUUGUUGGUUUCUAGGAUUGACGUAAUGAUUAAUAGGGAUAGUUGGGGGCAUUAGUAUUCAAUUGUCAGAGGUGAAAUUCUUGGAUUUAUUGAAGACUAACUACUGCGAAAGCAUUUGCCAAGGAUGUUUUCAUUAAUCAAGAACGAAAGUUAGGGGAUCGAAGACGAUCAGAUACCGUCGUAGUCUUA
rnacentral:rRNA from 1 species